AGCACAACAUAGUUCCUAAAUGCUCAGAGUUAUCUGUGCUUUGACAGAUUGUCUGAAAAAAGAUUUAGUGAUGUGGAUGAGAGAAUUUUGAAAUGUACACGAAUUGCUGAUUUUGGCAAUUGGCCUCAAAACAUUUGAAGAUGCUGUUGACUUUGGAGAUGAGUCUUUAUCACAAUUUGCUGAUCAUUAUGAAGAAAUGUUGAAAGCUGCUGGAGUAGAAACAUCACACAUUGAGUUAGAAUGGACAAACCUUAAUGAGCUGUUGUAUGAAAACCAUACAGUAUCCACCCUGACAUGCCAGGAAAUCAACUUUUCUAUGAGAAAUGUCCAAAUAUAUUGGACCUCUUCCACCUGAUUCUCUCAAUACCAGCAGGGACAUCAGAAUUUCUCAAAAAUGACAACAAUGAAAACCAAGUACAGAAACAAGCUGAAGAGUAUAACAAUGACUAUGCUCAUGGCCAAAAAAUCUACAUUCUUCGGAAAUUUGUGAUUUUGACCCAUCCAUUACAGUUGAUUUCUGGAAUAAAAACGGAUCCAGGAGACCAGAGUUUUUGCAAAGAAAGAAAAAGGGAAUUUCAUGUACCAGUAGUGCUGUUGUGUCUGAGAUUUUUGAGGCAUCAUGUAUCUGUGAAGGUGAUGUUUAAGAUCAGCCAAAAGGCAAUCCUGAA